CGGUUGUAGCUGGCCCCUUUUAACCGGGGGGCAUGUGCACGCCUUCUCUUUUCAUCCAUACACACACCUGUGAACUUGUGAGACGGAUUUCGACCCUCUCCGGGGGGGAAAGGUCCGUCUGCUAUACAUAAACUCCUGAAUAAUAAAUUAGAAUGUAAUCGAUGUAACGCAUCUUUAAACUAAGUUUCAACAACGGAUCUCUUGGCUCUCGCAUCGAUGAAGAACGCAGCGAAAUGCGAUAAGUAAUGUGAAUUGCAGAAUUCAGUGAAUCAUCGAAUCUUUGAACGCACCUUGCGCUCCUUGGUAUUCCUCGGAGCAUGCCUGUUUGAGUAUCAUGAAAUCUUCAAAAUAAAUCUUUUGUUCACUCGAUUGAUUUUAUUUUGGACUUGGAGGCUUGCAGAUUCACGUCUGCUCCUCUUAAAUUUAUUAGCUGGAUCUCGGUGAGCUCGGUUCCACUCGGCGUGAUAAGUAUCACUCGCUGAGGACACUGUAAAAGGUGGCCGGGAUUGCGGAUGAACCGCUUCUAAUAGUCCAUUGACUUGGACAAUAAAUACUUUAUGAUCUGAUCUCAAAUCAGGUAGGACUACCCGCUGAACUUAAGCAUAUCAAUAAGCGGAGGAAAAGAAACUAACAAGGAUUCCCCNUAGUA
rnacentral:rRNA from 1 species